AUGUGGAGUGAGGAGGAUACCUAUCUGGAUUUGGCAGCUAGUGCUGCUGAUGCGACCGAACACUUUCGAGAUCAGAAAGAUCGUGAAGUGGAAAAGCUCUUCUGGUCGCAGUUUCACAAUCCAGAGCGUCCACUGGCAGUGGUCGAUCGUUUGGCUCAAUGGGCCGAACUGAAUAGGUUGUCCUGGCUCGUCAUGAAGUACGUCAUGGGUCAUCUGUGGCCGGGGAGACCGGAGCCGAAGAGUUAUUUCAGCUUGGUGCAGCAAUUCCUUGACGCGGUGCCGCGUAUUGAUGCAAUGAAGAGGUCAGCAUGCAUAGAGGGCGCAAGGAUGGCUCUUGCCCAUGUCAAGACAUACUGGGCAGAGAUGGAGACCACCGUUGUUGCGUCCCGAGAUUCGGACAAAAGCCGAGUACCCUCCGAGCACUAUUUUCAGGAAGUCCUUGAAGGCGCUUGUGUAAUAGAGACGCAGUGCUCGAAAGAUGCUAUGUUAUUAUAG
rnacentral:rRNA from 1 species